UCGGGAAUUUUGGGCAAUGGGGGAAACCCUGACCCAGCAACGCCGCGUGAAGGAUGAAGUAUUUCGGUAUGUAAACUUCGAAAGAAUAGGAAGAAUAAAUGACGGUACUAUUUAUAAGGUCCGGCUAACUACGUGCCAGCAGCCGCGGUAAUACGUAGGGACCAAGCGUUGUUCGGAUUUACUGGGCGUAAAGGGCGCGUAGGCGGCAAUUCAAGUCAUCUGUGAAAUCUCCGGGCUUAACUCGGAACGGUCAGAUGAUACUGCUUUGCUAGAGUGCAGAAGGGGCAAUCGGAAUUCUUGGUGUAGCGGUGAAAUGCGUAGAUAUCAAGAGGAACACCUGAGGUGAAGACGGGUUGCUGGGCUGACACUGACGCUGAGGCGCGAAAGCCAGGGGAGCAAACGGGAUUAGAUACCCAUGUAGUCCCUG
rnacentral:rRNA from 1 species